GGGAAUGUGGCUUAGUGGUAGAGUGCUUGCUUAGCAUGCAUGAAGCCCUGGGUUUGAUUCCUCAGCACCA
rnacentral:tRNA from 1 species